GGCGAAAUUGUGGACAUCACAGGAGCAACCACAGCCAUCACAGCAGCAGCCAUCAGUGCAGCCACCAUCACAGCCACCACCACAGCCAUCAACAUUGCCACAGGCACAGGUGUGGCCAGGGCCACAGCCACCACAACCACAGCCACCACCUCAGCCAACACAACCAAGUGCUCAAGCCCGUUGUACUCAGCACACCUCCAAAUGCAAUCUCCAGGAUUCCCAAAGGCCAGGUCACCAGCCUACUUCAGCGGGGAUCUACUAAGCUGGAGGGCAAUCUCUGUAUCAACAACAGAUUCCAGGGUGGGCAGAAAAUCCUUACAGACUCUGGACUGGAGCCUGGGAGUGGGAGGUGGUAAGGAGAGGAGCCCUUUGCUUCCAUCCCGGCCCUGUAGUGUAGAAUCCAUAUCUACCACCCUACCCUCUCUGACUCUCCCAAGUACCCUCGGCCUUUAAUGCCUUGCUGGUCAACUCCCCCUGGGUGGGUUAAUGCCAACCUACGGCUGCAAAGGAGCCUUCCAACUUCUGCAGAGAGUGGUUGAGAAGCUGUCGGCCCUUCUUCCAGAGUCUCAUGAACCCAUGCCAAUCUAGCCCCAUCAGAAACACUGGGUAUUCACAACUCAAGUCUACCAAUUACAUACAGCAGUGGUGAUCCAGAGAUUGAACCCAGGACCCCAUGGCCAUCCCCAAAA
rnacentral:lncRNA from 1 species